GGAUAUUAUUCUGGCCUUGGUCUGAUUUGAACCUGUGAUAGCAUGUUGGCACACCCUGUAGCAGUCGCGCUUACCCAGGCUCAUAACCUAUUAGGCCACUAGGGCAAAAGAGCUCAAUCACCACCAGCACCAUGGUGGUAUAGAGGGUACGAUCCAAUCCCCCCAACAGGUAAAGCCAGGCAAGUAAACCUUACCACAAGGAGCUAUCAAAUCGAGUUAUCUAUCACAUGACUAAGCGCGCAAGAGCUCCCCAGCAAGUGGAUGUGGCGAUCACCGAUCUUCCCACGGUGCUGGGGCGAUGGGAUGCGAUUGUUCCUAUAAAUAGGACUCUCGGUCCUUUCCCUUUUUCAUUCCCACCUGACAUCAGCACUUAAAUACACAAACUGACUAGUAGAAUAAAAAUUUCAUUACAAGAUAUACUAGCUAUAGAAAAUAGUUUAGAGUGAUUGGGAAUUUUUUCACUAUUCUAUGUUUCAGUCAAUCAUUGAAUUGAGUAUCAUGAGAAUCUGGAGUGGGGGCCAGGAACAAGCAAGUUGAAUCACACAGCAAAGCUGCUGACUGCUACCCUGUAUAUUUUUCAAUAAGGAAUCCGCUGUUUUCUGUGCCAUGCGAUUGAUACAGUGUAUAUCUGUGAGAACGGUUUUUCCACAGAUUUGGUACAUAUCCAAGGAAUAGGGAUUGUUUAGAGAAUGAGGUUGUCGAUUGUGAUGUGAUUCAUACAAGUAGUUACUAGUAUUUCCAACUAAUAUUAAUAGCUAUCAAACAGGAG
rnacentral:sRNA from 1 species